UGCUUGUGAGGAACAAACAUCUUGUCUUAACCCCUCUUCUGGUCCCAGAGCUGGUAAAUGGUGAACACACUGGGGCUAACUGGGAGAGAGGACGAGAACUUGUCCCGUAAGGAACUGUCUGAGGUAC
rnacentral:snoRNA from 15 species